CCCAACCACCCAAGCACCCUCUACAAGCUGGCGUUUAGUGGGCCAAUAUGAUGGCCCAUUGUGUAGAGGAGCCAUAACAUCACUGAUGACAAGCCUCCACUUCGCACUGGACGUUCCUAUAGUUGGUAUUCGACCUAUCCAAUAUGCAUUGCGUCUCACUCUCUCACUAAGCAAAAUGUGAGAUGCGAGGAAAUUGGACAGGUGGCCACCCUAAUUCACCCUAUUUCAUGUGCAAGUUGCAAAAUUUCCAUAAAGUUACAAAAUUCUCGGAAAUUUCAUAGGGAACAAAAUAAAUAAAUUUUGGAAACGGAAAUUUUGAUUCCUAUACUGAAAUAUGAGAAGUUUCCGAAAUUUUUCCGAGUGGAAAUUUAGUAAUUUUGGAAAGCUUUUGACAGCACAUUAGUAAUCAGUUUCAUUGAUUGUAUAAAAUGUGUAGUCUCUGGAAAACAAGUAUGACAGCUGAAAAAUAUAAUGCUGUACGGAAUAAUAUGUUUUGUGGUGACUGAAUUGUAAAACGUCAAUUGUAUCGCUUAACUUCAAACUCGGGUAAAUCCAUUCGACCCUAUCAGCAAAUAUCUACCCUACUACCUUUUCUUAAUGCCAAUAUCGCAUAAUCUGACAGAUAGAUUUACCAAAGUUUGAAUUUAAGCGACUCAAUUUUAGACUAUUUAAACUACCGCUUUAUACACGGUGUAACAUAAGUAAACCGAAUAAUUUUAACAGCGUAUUCCUGAUCAUAUUUAGAGACAAAAAUGUCCUAUAAACUUUUUUGAUGUUCGCCUAGUUUCAGAGAUAUUAUAAAUUAAAAAAAAACAAGUUUUUAUUGUUACAUAGUGUAAAAGGCCUUUUUGAUGGUGAUGUUGCUGCUAUGGGACGUAGUCUAAAUAUCCUCAUUGAUAGAUGUCAAAAAGUGACAAGUAACACUUUGCAAAAAGUAGGUUCAACGAAAAAAAAUGUAAAAAUCAAUUUUAAGUGACAAGUUUACCACUAACAUUUAUUUUUUAUGUACAAAUACAUUCAAAUAAUUGAAAAAACAAAACAAAAAAAAAUUUUUUUUGGCCAAAUUGACCUAAACUCAUAUUACAUUUUUUACUUCUUUUGAGCUCAGAAAUGCGUGGUUAAAAUUAUUCGGUUUCCUCAUGUUACACCGUGUAUAUGGGAUAUUAUUUAUAGUCCAGGGACUACUAUUUCUGCUGAGGCGAUUCUCGACGAUAAAAGUUGAGGGAUUACCACGAAAAACAUAGACGACACUACAACUAUUUUUGCCCUGCAAAAAGGGUACUGCUAUAAAAAUUAUUUCGGCAAACAAAAUUCUAACCACAGCGAUGCUACUAUUUUCGGUUACCGUAAUUGAUAUUAAAAUUGCUAAGAAUUAUUAAUUUUGAUUCAGUUGAUUUUCAGAAUAUUUCUGUUUUAUAAUUCGAUUACCUAUAUUUUUUUUAUAUGGAAUUUAGAUGACUAUUAACUUUUAAAGCUGCUUCGUUUGACCUUUCAUUAUGCACAUUUCUCACACGUAAAAAUAGUUCAGUUUAGAUCCAGUAAAAAAGCAGCUUAAUUGUUUGCAAACUAAUUAUUAUUAAUGGUGCUUACCUACAGGAAUGUGAAAAUGACAAUGUUAUAUUCUGCCCUGCUAAGCCAAAGAGCGCUAUCUCAAACGAAAAUUCAUUGCUAACUUAUACUUUAGUUUCUAUUACUGAGAAUUCCAUUUUCAAAAUCAUUUGGUUUUGAGAUAGCGCUAUUCGGCUUACGGGCAGUAUUGUAAUUGUAUGUAGAUUAUUUUUAGCGUAAGCUGUGUUUUUAUAUUUCAAAUAGUAAAAUGACAGAUUGGACGAUUUACUCUCAAAGCAUCCCAAUUUUGUACUAUAAUAAUGAAAGAUAAGUCGGAUGAUUCAACUGUAAUUUAACUAUCUGAGGUAAAAACAAGGUUAGUACUGUCGCUAUCAGAUAUAUAGGAGCGGCCAGGGUGCUCACAGAUAUCUGAACACCAUUUACUAUUACCAGGCAGCGUAGCACGGUCGCGUUUUUAUCGCUUGUCACCAUGCCUGUCACGUUCUAACAAGUAUGUUAGUGCGAAAGGGAUGCGCAUAGUUAUAGUCGAUAAAAAUGGAACCGUGCUGCGCCCGCAGGGCGUUAGAUUGCGUGUUCAGCAAAUUUUGAGCACCUUGACCGCUCCGAUAUAUCUGAUGGCGACAGUACCUAUAUAUUGAUCUGAGCGUACUUAUAGUUUCACUGAACAACGAAAUCACACUUUUCCUUUAUUAGGAUUAUCAAUUCAAUUGACAUACAGAGUUGUUUCAAUAUAUCGUUACUUUUGCAUAUUGUAUUAAUUCCUGUUGCAAUGUUACUAAGCAAAUAAAUGUUUAAAGGAGUGAUUGAAUUUAAUAAACGUUCAUGACACGUCUUAAAAUAACUUGUAAAGACUUGUCCUAAAUGUUGAAAUGUAUAGAGCUCCCAUAACUGUCUGACAUAGUAAUAUGUAUAAUAAAAAUUCGUGAUAAAUUUGUUAUCAGAAUUCGGUGCGUAAUAUAAAAUAUUGACACCAGUAGCCAUAGAAAAUCCAUUCAAUGGAUUUAAAAUAGUACACGGCUAAAAUUAGAACGUCCAUAAUGAAUGCACAUGUGAAAUGAAUAACUUUCAAGUAGUUUGAACAUAAUCGUUCAUUAAACAACAAAGUGUGAUCCAAUGUGUGUUCAAUGUUAGUGGUCAAUAUUAGCCAAUUAUAAUUAACCUUUUGGACGCCAAUGACCGAUAUAUCCGCACCGCAGGUUCAACGCCAAAGACGGAUUAAUCGGCCACAGACCACAGAGCAACAUAGACCUACGUGCAUUAUAUGCAUAAAGUUCAAUUUCAGUUUUGACACUUCGGUGACGUGACGUCCGAGUGACAGCUUUUGUGUUUGACACGGCGUCGAAAAGGUUAAUUGAAUACCGAGUUAUGACGUCACUUAGUUAUUAAGAUUGCACACUCUGUGUUCUAUGUCGUUUGUUGAAAGCACUUUUGGGUUAUUUAGGGCAAAGAAUUUUGAAUGCUGUUUCUUUCGAUCCUUAUAUUAGGGUGACAUGAAAUGAAUCCUUGCCCGAAGACGUUGCAGUAUAUGGCAGCAUAAUGUUAUUUUAAAAAUCUCACGUUAGGAGUCUGUAUUGAUGAUAUUUAUAGGUUUUAUUUUAUGUUUCUAGAUUGCAUUUCGUCGGUUUCCGAAUAAGACAAUAAAAAAUAUUCACUGCGUUAGCAUUUAUAGUUUUGUUUUAAUUCGUGCUGUCCUGUUUAAAUGCCAAAAUGCGAGUGGAAUGUUCACUGAGAAAUAUGUUUACGAAUGUUUGUACUUUUAUAUAAAAGAGAUGUAAAAUAAUAUGUAUGUUUUAUAUUAUAUGUUUAAUUCACAAUAAACAUUAGAAAAAUAAAUUAUGACUAUAGUUGA